CAAAGGUUUGGUCCUGACUUUACUGUCAGCUUUAGCUAGAUUUACACAUGCAAGUAUCCGCCUCCCUGUGAGAAUGCCCAUAGUGCCCUUUUCGGGAACAAGGAGCUGGUAUCAGGCACACGACCUACGUAGCCCACGACACCUUGCUUAGCCACACCCCCAAGGGAAUCCAGCAGUGAUAAAUAUUAAGCCAUAAGUGAAAACUUGACUUAGUUAAAGCUAAGAGAGCCGGUAAAACUCGUGCCAGCCACCGCGGUUAUACGAGAGGCUCAAGUUGACAGACAACGGCGUAAAGAGUGGUUAAGGAAAACAUUCAACUAAAGCGGAACCCCCUCACUGCUGUUAUACGCUUCCGAGGGAAUGAACCCCAACUACGAAGGUGGCUUUAUAUUAACCUGAACCCACGAAAGCUAAGAAACAAACUGGGAUUAGAUACCCCACUAUG
rnacentral:rRNA from 1 species